rnacentral:tRNA from 1 species
UCUAAUGUGGCACAUUAGUGCAGUGAAUUUAAAAUUCAUUUAUAAAUAAAUUUAUUUCUUUAGAA